GGGGCAUUGCCUGGAGCAGCAUGGGAGAUUUAAAUGGCUCCAAGGAGCGCAAGGAACAGGAGCUGGCAAAUAGGACUUGGUGUGUCAGAAGAAUGUGACAUGGCAGUGUGCACAGCAGUUCACACAGGCAGGAGAAGAAGGAAAAGCACAGCCACUCUCCCAGCUCCUGACUGGGGUGUUAGGUCUUUUUUUUGAACUCCCAACUUGAAUUGCCCACACUUGAAAGCCAUUCUAGUAGGAGCGUGGUGACCCAGACAAAGCUCCCCAAGAAGGAUGUAGCUUUCUGGUCUCUGUAUGGAGUGCCUGAGCCUGGUGUUAGCACCAGGAACUAUUAGAGGACAGAGGAAAAGACAGCUGUGGGCAGUGUGAGUAGGUUGAUGAUCUGCUCUUUCUGGUGUCAGAGCUUAAAGAGGAGGUGGACAGGCUGAGGAGUACCAUGGAGUGCAAAACGGAAGUAGACUGCUGGGGUCAAACUCUUCCAUCCCUGAGACAAGCUCAUUGGAUGGAAGGACAGCAGGUGUUGGAGGAAUGUCACAAAGGAAAAAGGAGACCUAAAAGAUGUCAGAGAAAGGAAAUGGGUCCCUGCUAAGGGGAAGAAUCCCUCCCAGCUUCUCUCUCCUUCCCAGGUGCCCUUACAGAACAGGGAAAAUUACAAGUUCUGCAUUGUCCAGGAAUUCUUUCCCAUCUGAAAAAUGAUGUUCAUACAAAACAAGAGCAAGAAAAGAAAGCAGCUACUACAUUGCAGGAAUAAAAAAAUGCUUGGGAGGUAUUCACUGACUCAAAGAAUCACAGAAUAAGCUGAGUUGGUGAGGACCCAUGAGGAUCAUCUAAUCCAACUCCUAGUCCUUCAAAGAACCAUCCCCAAGAGUCACACCCUGUGCCUGAGUGUUGUACAAACACUUCUUGAGCUCUGUCAGGCCCAGACUGCAGUCUUGAAAGCAUUGGAGAAUUAACCUUAUGGAAACCAGACUGUGGGAGCACAUUUUUGCACUUGGAAAAGGAAAUUGAGAGUGUAUCUACCAUGCUGACUGGUACAACAAUAUAAAUGAAAAAACCUGAAAAUACAACUCAUAAAACUGAGUCUCCAGUCAAGCACUGUGAUGAUGGUGGCCAGGUGGGAUGUCCAUUAAGUGCUCUCACUAAGUCAAGCAGAAUUCACAGAGUCACGGAAUGGGUAAGGUUGGAAGGGACCACAGUGGGUUAUCUUGUCCAACCUCCCUGCUCAUCCCAGAGCACAUGGCACAGGAUUGUGUCUAGACAGUUCUUGAAUAUCUUCCAUAAGGGAAACUCCAAACCCUACUGGACAAACUGUUCCGGUGCUCAGUCACUGCGCAAUAAAGUUCUUCCUCAUAUUCAA